rnacentral:rRNA from 1 species
GAUCAUGGCUCAGGACGAACGCUGGCGGCGUGCCUAAUACAUGCAAGUCGAGCGAAGUUUUUUUGGUGCUUGCACCGGAAAAACUUAGCGGCGAACGGGUGAGUAACACGUAAAGAACCUGCCUCAUAGACUGGGACAACUAUUGGAAACGAUAGCUAAUACCGGAUAACAGCAUUAACUGCAUGGUUGAUGUUUAAAAGUUGGUUUUGCUAACACUAUGAGAUGGCUUUGCGGUGCAUUAG